AGCCACCUGUACGGUAAACAGAUAGGCACAAUUGCUAGUAUUUAAUCAGAAUGACUGCAGAACUAGGAAACACUGAUAUAGGUACAUGUAUCAGAUACGAUACAAUAUAAUACGUUGAACAAUUUCUAACAUCUGAUUGGAAUAAGUGUAGAAUAAAUUUCAAAUGCAGAAUAAUCCUUUACCAUGUUUCGUACUUGUCUGUAUAAGAAACCUGAGCCCUCAACUUCUAACCGCAAAAGAGCCCCCUACAUAUAGUGCAAAAGGAAGACAAAAAUUAGACUAAUUAUAGUGCAAAACUGUAAGUAGGCAAAUUAUAGAUUACGCUACAAUGUUUUGGCCAAAAAUCAUAAAACUCCUGUAUUCAACUCCCUUGUGAUUCGUUCCAUUACCACUAACCAUCCAGUGUCUCAAUUUUAAAAGAAAUAGCCAUGUAAAUUUUUAAAUGAUGAACAACAUUUUUGAAAGCGUGUUUCACUAUGCCUUAAAUAACUUCAUGAUCUUUUAGUUAUUUCUGGGAUUAAACUGCCAUUUCAAAAAUGAAAUAAUAGCUAAAAGAGGAGAAACCUUGUACUAGAGAUAGACAAUUACCAUAUCUAUCACAUCAAAUCUGAAUAUAUGCUUCACUGGAUCUGGAACCCGAUCAUUGUGGGAUGCAUUGGCCAAGGCAGAGAAGUCAUGCUUCCCAAGAAAAUAUUUUGCAGCUUCUCUCAUGACAGUGCUAUUGAGUUUAUAGGCACUAUGAAAAUCGAGCAUGGAAUUCAGGCAAUGCUGGACUGAUCUCCCUAACUUGGAUAUCAGAAGGAAGAAGGCCAUUCAAAGCUGCAUGAAUCUCUUCCAAGUUGUCAUAGUUGAAUGGUGUAAAAAAGUGCGCACCCUGCAGUCAAGUUAAGCUUGUAAUCUAUGGAGGCCAUUAAAAUUAGGAUUUGAUCGCAAGCCGAGUAACCAAUCCAGCCUGCAAAACAAAAUACUAAAUUUGUCCCUUAAAUUCAAGACCCGAAUAAUUCUGAGUUUUCUAGCCUAAGCGGCUAGGCCCCAAUAGAAUUUGAAUGAAGUUUGUUAUUUUCCUCUUGUAAUGUUGUUAAAUAUUUCAGGCCAAAAUAAAAUGUUUGACGUUUUUGUUA